AUGGGGAGGAGACCAAACAUCCCAGAACAGGAAUCUGCCCGUACUUCCACCAUUUGUACCCAUGGGACAUCCUGCUCACUGCUCACUGUAGACAUUAGGCAGAGUGUGUUCAGUGAGGUUGGCAGAAGGUUGGGCGAUAAGACGGUGGCUGUGAGUCUGUGGCUUGGCGACUUGGUGUGGGGGAAACUUGGCCGGUAUCCUUGGCCAGGAAAGAUUGUAAAUCCACUCAAGAACUUGAAGAGAUUACAUGGAAAGCCAUGCUUUUUUUGUGAAGUUUUUGGAAUGGAAGAUCAUGUCUGGAUUAAAGUAAAGCAACUAAAGCCAUAUCAUGCUCAUAAACAUGAACUGAUAAAAAUCAAUAUGGUUAAACGAUUCCAGCAAGCUGUGGAGGCUGUGGAAGAGUUAUGAAGAGAGCCAAAGGAGAAGACCAGACAUCAUCCCACACUUCUGCUGAUGACAAGAGUCGGCAUAAUUCCAGUGAGGAGAGAAGUAGGCCAAACUCAGGUGAUGAGAAGUGCCAACAGCCUGUCUGAAGGGAAGGCGAAGGAGAACAUGGGAGAAGGAAAGAAGAGUGUCUUGAGGCUCUGCAGAGAGAGGCUCCAAAUCCCCUCUGAAAAGAGCCGAGGAGCAAAGUCCCUGGAAGCAGGUUUGGCCCCCAAAAGAUAAGAAGGAUCUUACUAUCCCAGAGUCUAGUACUGUGAAGAUGAUGGCCAGACCUAUGGCCACGUUUAAAUGGCAGCCAACUGGAGUGAGUCUGUCAAAGAUGCAGAUCCUCACUUCCAUCAUUUCUUGCUGAGCCAAACAGAGAAGCCAGCUGUUUGUCACCAGGCAAUCACAAAGAAGUUGAACAUAUGUGAAGGGGAAACUGGUUCCACCUCCAUCCAGGCAGCAGACAGCACAGCUGUGAAUGACAGCAUCACACCCACAGACAAAAAAGAGGAUUUUUGGGCCUCGGAUUCAUGGGAAGCGACAUCAUCUCUAACUUGCUAAGAAUGGGUCACACAGUGAAUGUCUGGAACAGGACUGCAGAGAAAUUGAUUUAUUCAUCCAGGAUGGGGCCCACCUAGGAAGAAUCCCUGUUGAAGUUAUUUCAAUUUGUGACAUCACUUUCACCUGUGUGUUGGAUCCAAAGGCAGCCAAAGAUCUGGUGCUUGGCCCCAGUGGCAUGCUGCAAGGGAUCUGCUCUGGGAAGUGCUGUGUGGAUAUGUCAAUGGUGGAUGUGGACACAGUCACUGAGCUGGCCCAGGUGAUUGUGUCUGGGCAGGGGGUGCUUUCUGGAGGCCCCAGUCUCAGGGAAUCAGCAGUUGUUUAAUGACGAGAUGUUGGUGAUCUGAGCAGCUGGAGACAUGGGCCUAUAUUAAGACUCUAGCAGCUGCUUCCAGGCUAUGAGGAAGAUCUUUCUAGGUGAAGUUGGUAAUGCAACCAAGAUGAUGCUGAUUGUAAAGAUGGUCCAAGGGAGCUUCAUGGCCACCAUUGCAGAGGGGCUGACCUGGCCCAGGUCACAGGCCAGUCACAGCAGACACUCUUAGACAUAAUCAGGGACAGUUUGCCAGCAUCUUCCUGGACCAGAAGUGCCAAAAUACUCUACAGGGGAACUUUAAGCCUGAUUUCUACUUGAAGUACAUUCAGAAGGAUCUUCGCCUGGCCAUUGCCCUGGGUGAUGCUGUCAACCACCCAACACCUAUGGCAGCUGCAGCCAAUGAGGUAUACAAAAGAGCCAAGACACUGGACCAGUCUGACAAUGAUAUGUCUGCUGUGUACCGAGCCUACAUACACUAA